rnacentral:tRNA from 1 species
GGAGAGUUGCGAGAGUGGUUUAAUCGGCGUGAUUGGAAAUCACGUGUACGGGCAACCGUACCGAGGGUUCGAAUCCCUCACUCUCCGCCA